rnacentral:rRNA from 1 species
ACUGCUCAGUAACACGUGGACAACCUGCCCUUAGGUUGGGUAUAAACCCGGGAAACUGGGUAUAAUACCCGAUAGGUCUCGAUUGCUGGAAUGCAUCGAGAUUUAAAGCUCCGGCGCCUAAGGAUGGGUCUGCGGCCUAUCAGGUAGUAGUGGAUGUAGCGUACCUACUAGCCUACGACGGGUACGGGUUGUGAGAGCAAGAGCCCGGAGAUGGAUUCUGAGACACGAAUCCAGGCCCUACGGGGUGCAGCAGGCGCGAAAACUUUACAAUGCUGGCAACAGCGAUAAGGGAACCUCGAGUGCCAGGUUACAAAUCUGGCUGUCGAGAUGCCUAAAAAGCAUUUCAUAGCAAGGGCCGGGCAAGACCGGUGCCAGCCGCCGCGGUAACACCGGCGGCUCGAGUGGUAACCGUUAUUAUUGGGUCUAAAGGGUCUGUAGCCGGCCGGAUAAGUCUCUUGAGAAAUCUGGCAGCUUAACUGUCAGGCUUUCAGGAGAUACUGUCUGGCUCGAGGCCGGGAGAGGUGAGAGGUACUUCAGGGGUAGGGGUGAAAUCUUGUAAUCCUUGAAGGACCACCAGUGGCGAAGGCGUCUCACCAGAACGGACCUGACGGCAAGGGACGAAAGCUAGGGGCACGAACCGGAUUAGAUACCCGGGUAGUCCUAGCCGUAAACGAUACUCGCUAGGUGUCGGCCACGGUGCGACCGUUGUCGGUGCCGUAGGGAAGCCGUGAAGCGAGCCACCUGGGAAGUACGGCCGCAAGGCUGAAACUUAAAGGAAUUGGCGGGGGAGCAC